GACGAGGGGUCCUAGCGUUGUUCGGAAUCACUGGGCGUAAAGCGUAUGUAGGCGGGCUUUUAAGUCAGGUGUGAAAUCCCAUGGCUCAACCAUGGAAUUGCAUUUGAAACUGGAAGUCUUGAAUGUGGGAGAGAUUGGUAGAAUACCUAGUGUAGUGGUGAAAUACGUAGAUAUUAGGUGGAAUACCGGUGGCGAAGGCGC
rnacentral:rRNA from 1 species